CCUACGGGACGCAGCAGUGAGGAAUAUUGGUCAAUGGCCGAGAGGCUGAACCAGCCAAGUCGCGUGAGGGAUGACGGCCCUACGGGUUGUAAACCUCUUUUGUCGGGGAGCAAGACCCGCCUCGUGCAGGCGGAGCGAGAGUACCCGAAGAAAAAGCAUCGGCUAACUCCGUGCCAGCAGCCGCGGUAAUACGGAGGAUGCGAGCGUUAUCCGGAUUUAUUGGGUUUAAAGGGUGCGCAGGCGGACCAUCAAGUCAGCGGUAAAAUCGUGGGGCCCAACCCCGGGACUGCUCUUGGAACUGCGUG
rnacentral:rRNA from 1 species